GUAGGGUGCGAGCGUUAAUCGGAAUUACUGGGCGUAAAGUGUGCGCAGGUGGCCGAGCAAGUCGAGUGAGAAAUCCCCGGGCUUAACUUGGGAAUUGCGCUCGAAACUACUUGGCUAGAGUGUGGCAGAGGAAGGUGGAAUUCCAGGUGUAGCGGUGAAAUGCGUAGAGAUCUGGAGGAACACCGAUGGCGAAGGCAGCCUUCUGGGCCAACACUGACGCUCAUGCACGAAAGCGUGGGGAGCAAACAGGAUUAGAUACCCUGGUAGUCCACGCCCUAAACGAUGAUGACUAGUUGUUGGGGGAGUUAAAUCCCUUAGUAACGCAGCUAACGCGUGAAGUCAUCCGCCUGGGGAGUACGGUCGCAAGAUUA
rnacentral:rRNA from 1 species